GACGAACCGUCCGAACGUUAUUCGGAAUCACUGGGCGUAAAGGGUGCGUAGGCGGGUCUUUAAGUCAGGGGUGAAAUCCUGGAGCUCAACUCCAGAACUGCCUUUGAUACUGAGAGCUUGAGUCCGGGAGAGGUGAGUGGAACUGCGAGUGUAGAGGUGAAAUUCGUAGAUAUUCGCAAGAACACCAGUGGCGAAGGCGGCUCACUGGCCCGGUACUGACGCUGAGGUGCGAAAGCGUGGGGAGCAAACAGG
rnacentral:rRNA from 1 species